AACCCAGAAUGAUGGUGGUUUUUUGUUUUCUUUUGCACCAAUAUUACAUUGUUGACUCUUACUUAGUUUGUAAUGCAUUAUAACCCCCAGAUCCUUUGCUGCAGUACUGCUUCCUAGGCAGACAUUUCCUGUUUUGUAUUUAUGCAACUGAAUAUUUCUUUCUAAGUAUAGUACUUGGCAUUUGUCCUAAUUCAUUAUCCUAACUAACUGAAUUUCAUCCUAUUUAUUUCAGACCAUUUCUCCAGUUUGUCAAGAUCAUUUUGAAUUCUAAUCUUGUCCUCCAAAGCACUUGCAACCCCUCCGAACUUGGUAUCACCUGCAAACUUUCAACUGAUCUUUGGUAUGAGAGACCAGGGGUGCCACAUUUCCACAAUAAAGGGACCUCAAAGGGUCAGGACCUCACUCUUACAUCUCCUCAGAAAAAUGGCAAUUCCAACCAAACAAUACCACUUCACACCUUGCUGGCUGGCCACUGAUUCAGAACUGAGUCACAGAGAAAAUGGCUCAAUUCUGGUUCACCUGUACUACUUCUUCCAGCUCCUGAACUUUUUUUUAAAGGUAUCCCUUCCAGGUAUGUAGUAACCUGUCCCUCCUUAGUCUAGAACAGUGAUCACCAACCUAUCGAUUGCGAUCGACUGGUCGAUCCUAGAGACUCUCCCGGUUGAUCCCGAUCUCUGGUGGUGUGGCGGGGCUGCCGCUAAGGCAGGUUCCCUGCCUGCCCCGGCCCCACGCCGCUCCCGGAAGCAACCAGCACAGCCCUGCGGCCCCAUGGAGGGGCAGGGGUCUCCGCGUGCUGCUCCUGCCUUCAAGCACUGUCCCCACAGCUCCCGUUGUCCGGGAACGGCCAAUGGGAGCUG